AUUGAACGCUGGCGUCAGGCUUAACACAUGCAAGUCGAACGAUUGGCGGACGGGUGAGUAAUGCAUGGGACUCGCGCUGAUGGAUGGGGAUAACUACGGGAAGCUGUAGCUAACACUGCGUACCUGAGGGUGAGCCCAAGUGGGAUUAGGUAGUGGGGGAUGUAAAGGCUCACCAAGCCGACGAUCCCUAGCUGGUCUGAGAGGAUGAACCGCCACACUGGGACUGAGACACGGCCCAUACUCCUCCGGGAGGCAGCAUUGGGGAAUAUUCCGCAAUGGGGGCAACCUGACGCAGCCAUGCCGCGUUAAUGAAGAAGGCCUUCGGGUUGUAAAGUUCUUUCGGUAGCGAGGCGUUAACUACAGAAGAAGCACCGGCUAACUCCGUGCCAGCAGCCGCGGUAAUUC
rnacentral:rRNA from 1 species